GAGCCGCUGCCACAGCAUGGCUACUGACAGAUGAGUGGUGUGGUUCUGCCCCUGGGAACUGGGCCCGGGCUGCCGAAGAGGAGCAUGCAUAACUUUAACCACUAGGCAAUCAGGGCUGGCUCUAGGUCAACUAAUUUCUUGAUUACAGCUUGGUAAAGAGAAUCUCUUUUUAUUGGGAACUUGGUUUAGUAGUUUUUAGUGAAACUUAAAAAGUUUUCCUCUCUCUUUCCUUGUCACCACUCACUCUAGCUGCCUCUGUUAGCGGUUUUUGAUUCAGGAGGUUAAAUUUCUCUAAAAAACCUUUGAGAAGCAUUAAAGUGAAUGGUAUGUCCCACUUGUGAGAUGCUAUUACUAAUCUUGCUGGUCAUCACCAUAGAUAUUCCUGUAUCUAUUCUUAAUUUGAGUUGAAAUUAACAAACCUGCUCAUAAAGUAAAGAAAGGCAAAUGCUUUUCUGUGAAAGAUGCCUGGGUUCUGGUUUCUUUAGAGUCUUAAGGUUUUUUUCUAUUUUAAUAAUAAUGAGGGAUUUUUGGGAUGGAAAGGAGGGUGCACAGGGCCUUGGAGGGGCUGAAGACUCAGCUUUGUUUUCUUCCAUGUCUAUCAUCCAACACAGUGCAGGGAGGAACAGGAGGGCCUGGGAGUCAGGAGAGCUGGUUUCCAGCUCCUAACAUGUUGGCGGCCGCCUCAGCAUCCAUAGCUCCAGAUCCACCAUUCCUGUGUUCAUGGCCCUGAGAUAGCGUUACACCAAAUAUGACUGUAGAAGGCUGAAUGAUCGCCACCCAAAGAUAUCAAGUCCUCAUCACUGAAACCUGUAAAAGUUACUUUAUAAGGAAGGGUCUUUGCAGAUGUGAAUAAAUUAAGGGUCUGGACAUGGGGAGAUUAUUCUGGGUUAUCUAGGGGUGCCCUAAAUCCAAUCAUAAAUGUCCUUAUAAGAGAGAGGCAGAGGGAGGUUUGACAUAGAGGGGAAGGUGUUAAUGAAGACAGAGAUUGCAGUGAUGUGGCGACAAACCAAGGAAUGCCAGCAGCCACCAGAAACUGGGAAGAGGCCAGGAAUAAAUUCUCCCCUAGGGCCUCUGGAGAGUGUGGCCCCAUUGACACCUUAAUUUUGGCCCAAUGAAACUGAUGUAGAACUUCUGACCUCCAGAGAUACGAAAGUAAGUUUUUGUUGUGUUAAACCACCAAGUUUGUGGUAAUUUGUUAUGGCAGCCCUAGGAAAUUAAUACAACCACCAAUCAGAAACAUGCACUUAAGGGCCUGUUACAGAGGUGACCCUGUGCCAGGGGCUGGGGAUUCAGCUGGGAAAAAGAGAGUCAUGAUCCUUUCCCUUGGGGAACAUACCUGGGGCCGCAAGAGGCAGUCAUCAACUACAAUGAAAAUUAGUUUAAUCAACCACUCUGCAGCUACUUAUACAUUUUAUCAGAGACAGAAGUAGAAAUAAAAAUCCCCAAUUGCCUAGGAUAAGGGAAGAAAUGUCUUUGUUAAUUGCAGUGAAGGUACAUGAUGUUAAAAUGCCCCAUCAAUUUUACCAAAAAAAGGCAGUCUAUUUGCAGAAAAAUCAGUUCUGUUUGCUGGGCAAUUCAUGGAAGGUGGGGAAAUGUACUUUCUGAAUCAUUUUAAAAAUAGUUAACACUUUUAUUGAAGGCAUCUCUGUGUGGGCAUUUGUUACAUAUUAUUUUAUAUAAUCCUUAUAGCCACUCUGCAUUUUCAUUUUACAUAUGAAGAAAUUAAGGAUGAGUGACUGAAUAACUUUCCCCAAGGACAGAAGAUAGGAAGUGAUAUAUCCUGACUUGUCUCAUUAAUUCCUGGUUAUUUUUUUUGUUCUUUUAGAAUCCUUAAGACAGCCUGUUAGUUGGAUACCAAUACUCAGCUAUACUUCAUGCCCAGCAUGCAGCGCAGGGGUGGGCCUGGUGGGUGGGGAGCCAGUCAUGCUACCUUGACCAAUCUGAAAUCCUGGAGGUCUGGUCAUGUAUAUGGUGGCAGCACCAUCUAAACUCCUUUUGGUAAGGGUUGAUAAUCAUGCACACACUGCACAUCAACUGUUAAUAACUGGUAAUCCAUACGCUCACCCAACAGUCUGUCCACCUAUCUGUCCAUCCGUACAUUCAUUCACACAUCUAUUCAUCCACCCACCCAACUAUCUACCCACUCAUUCACACAUCCAUUCACCCACCCAUCCACCUGCUCAUUCAUCCAUCAACAUCCAGCACAAGUAGAAAAGGUUCAGAAGCUCAAAAGCAUCUUUUGUGAUGUCAGGAUGGAAUGAUUCCCACUGCUGGUGAAAGAAUAUGAUGACAGGUCAUUCAGAUUGCUGCUACUCAGGGAGGACCACGCCAUUCAUAUUCUCUUAUUGAGCAUUAUUUAAUUAUUGUCUUUAAAAAGAAUUUUUGUUUAAGAAGAUCCACCUGAAGAAGUGCAAAUUUAUGAUUUUGGGAAUUUGUAGUUCAAACACCAUUUCAGCUGUUGAUGUAGGGGGAAGUGUUCCUAACUAUAGACCAGCAACAAUGAUUUGUUGUCAGAAUGUUUUGUAAUUUAGAAGUAGAGCAUUACAAGUACAGCAAAAUUAAAUAGGCUAAAUAAUUAGAAGCAACACCUGACAAUGAAAAAUUUCCCAUUCUGACCAUCACUGAGGAGUGACUGUGACACCACAGUGCAUGUGCUGUAGGAGCAGUGUGCUGGACCCACUGCACCACCAGGGCUUGAUGCUGCAGGUUCCUUGCUUGUGGUCGGUGGAGCAGGAAGAGGUUUGCAUGUGUCAGUCCCAAUAGUCUGCAGAAACUCAAACUCACUCUCCUCCUCAUCUCCCAUUAGAGGGGCUAGUCAGCCGGUUUCUAUUUUAACACAUUUUCUUCUGUUCAUUUUGAUAUAAUCUGUAAGUUAUCUGAUUUAGGUGGAGACAGGAAGAAAUGGGUCUUGGGCAAAUAUAAAAGAUAUUCCACAGAGGACCUGCACAGCACGUUACAGAUAUGGCGUUAAGUCAACCACAGCUUCACAGGAAGAGCUGGUUCCCUGGGAAGCUCUGGUAGCUGCUGCAUCCAGUCCCUAAAAGAAGGGGUCCUUGACGAUAUGUGAUUGAGACAAGAUCAUUUCUACUGGAACUCAGCACACAGGAGCUGGUGGUAGACCUGGCUACAGAAUUAGAGCAAUUCAAUCAACGUCAGAGCCCUUCUUGGCUCAGAAGAUUAGGCGUAAGAAUGGAAGUGACACGGGAAUAAAGGAGUCCAUUCCCAGCUCCACCGGUCCUCAGCAGUGCAGUCUCAGUGGAAGGAGACGGGCUCUCACCCAGCAGCCCCUCUCUGCAGGUGGUAUGUAAAAAAUAACUUCUCUCUUUUCGGAAGAAAAACUAUCCUGGAUUGUAAGGAUUGUGGAAAUUUAGACAACUUCCUAAAUCAACAAAUGUAUAUAGAAGUUCACUGUUGGGUUAAACUUUAUAAGCUUGUGCGUAUGAAAAAAUGUCACAAGACAAAUUCAAAAAUUUGUCUUGUGCUUGGUUGAAUUCUUCUUGUUUUUAAUUAUUAUAAUAUUGAAGGUGAUUUCCUUUUUUUUAGUGGCCUAAAACAUGAUUUGUGAAGACAGUAAUUAAGGCUACAGCAGUCUAUUUUAGAAUCACAGUUUUGAAGGAAUAUAGUUUUUCUUAUUAAGUAUAGCAGUCUAUUUUAGAAUCACAGUUUUGAAGGAAUAUAGUUUUUCUUAUUAAGUUGGUCAAUAAGUCUACAUUCUAGAAUGCCACCAUUGUUCCAGAACCUGUGUGGUCAUGGUCUAGAGCCACCUGUGGGAACAGAUGAGCCUCAGGAACCACCAGGCAUUUAAAUGCAGACAAUGUAUACCUCCACCUCUAUCCCAAGGGGGGACCUCAUUUACAAAUAAAGUUUGAAAGUAUAAAGUUGUGAACUGGAGCCUUGAUAAAGGUAAAAGGUGUAAUCGUGUCCUUAAUAGUUUGUCCCUCACUUGCAGCUUUUGCUCGAGGGAUGAGGUCUCCCUUAUGUUGGACUUAACUAUUCUGAAGGCUGUUUGUGUCCCUGCUCUGGUUGGUCUCCAAGGUAUUCUUUGCUGGUCUUUAUGCUGAGAAGAAAGAAAAACUUAACUGCUCUCCAGAGGAAUAGCAGGUACUUUGAGAAAUGUCAUUUCCUUUUUUUUUUUUUUUUUGCUGAGGAAGAUUCAUGCUGAGCUGACAUCCACUGCCAAUCUUCCUCUUUUUGUAUGUGAGCUGCCACCACAGCAUGGCCACUGACAGACAAGUGGUGUAGGUCCACACCUGGGGACUGAAGUGGAGUCUGCUGAACUUAACCACUAGGCCAUGGGGCUUGCCUGAAAUGUCAUUUCUUGAGUGAUUAUGUCUGAGCUCAGGAGGCCAGGCCCACAGAGCUGAGCUGCUUUAAGAUGCAGAAACCACCUCCAUUUCUCACAGCGUUCCACGUUGAAGGCCUUGCAGAGGCCUGGAGGCUGAGCUGUCCUGGGGACUUUGACUACAAUGUGGGGCAAAGCCCAGAAGCUGUGUAGCCCACUCUGCAGCCUGGACGACAGCUCCUUUUUCAAGGUGUGCUGACUCCCCCCUGGCUUUCUCUGUGAGACAGGAAUUGUACAAGGAAUAUAUAAAGUAGGAAAGGA